rnacentral:lncRNA from 1 species
UGGCAAGCUGAUUCUAAAAGAUAUAUAAAAAUGCAAAGGACCUAGAAUAGCCAAAACAAUCUUUAAAAAGAACAAGCUUGGAUACCUUUCCUGAUUUCAAGAAAUAUUGGUAUACCUUUCCUGAUUUCAAGAAAUAUUGGUAUACUGUGAUCUUGGCUCACUGCAACCUCCGCCUCCUGGGUUCAACAGAUUCUCCUGCCUCAGCCUCCGGAGUAGCUGGGAUUAUAGGCUUGUGCCAGCAUGCCCUGCUAAUUUUUGUAUUUUUAGUAGAGAUGGGGUUUUCCCAUGUUGGCCAGACUGUUCUCGAACUUCCUACCUCAGGUGAUCCGCCCGCUUCAGUCCCCCAAAAUGCUGGGAGAACAGACGUGAUGACUGCUCCCGGCCACCAUAACAGCUAAAUCUUAAACAAUUAUGUUGAAUGAAAUGAAGAUAAAUUUCAUUGUGUCAGACACAAAAGAGUAUGAUCUGUAUUAUUUCAUUUAGAAGUAUCUAAAAGAAAAAACUAAGACAGGGUGAUACAGAACAAUAGUUGCCUUGAGAGUAAAGAGACUAUUUGGAAAGAGGCUAUAAGGUAACUUCGUCAAAACUUGUCAAAAGAUAUACUUAAAACCUGUCCACUCCAUUGUAUAUAAAUUAUACUGUAAUUUUAAAAAAAGAUAUAUAUGCAAAGCCAUUUCCUUCAAAGUACUCAUGGUUUGGUUAAGGAAACAAAAUAUAUAUGAAGAUGUGAAGAACUAAAAGAAAAUACCAAAGAGAUUCCAAAGCAGUAUGUGAUUAGAGUCAAAGGAGACUGGGAGGGGAGAGAGCUGCUGGCAAAGUAGAGUGGAUGGGAAAACCCAUAUGGGAGAA